rnacentral:rRNA from 1 species
GCGCAGCAGGCGAGAAACCUCCGCAAUGCGCGAAAGCGCGACGGGGCCACCCCGAGUGCCGCCCGCUGAGGGUGGCUUUUCCCCGGUGUAGACAGCCGGGGGAAUAAGGGGAGGGCAAGUCUGGUGUCAGCCGCCGCGGUAAUACCAGCUCCCCGAGUGGUGGGGACGAUUAUUGGGCCUAAAGCGUCCGUAGCCGGCCCAGCAAGUCUCCCGUUAAAUCCAGCGAUCUAAUCGCUGGACUGCGGGAGAUACUGCUGGGCUAGGGGGCGGGAGAGGCUGGCGGUAUUUCCGGGGUAGGGGUGAAAUCCUAUAAUCCCGGGAGGACCACCAGUGGCGAAGGCUGCCGGCUGGAACGCGCCCGACGGUGAGGGACGAAAGCCGGGGGAGCGAACCGGAUUAGAUACCCCGGUAGU